rnacentral:rRNA from 1 species
AGUGAACGCUGGCGGUAGGCCUAACACAUGCAAGUCGAACGGCAGCACAGUAAGAGCUUGCUCUUACGGGUGGCGAGUGGCGGACGGGUGAGGAAUACAUCGGAAUCUACUUUUUCGUGGGGGAUAACGUAGGGAAACUUACGCUAAUACCGCAUACGACCUACGGGUGAAAGCAGGGGAUCUUCGGACCUUGCGCGAUUGAAUGAGCCGAGUCGGAUUAGCUAGUUGGCGGGGUAAAGGCCCACCAAGGCGACGAUCCGUAGCUGGUCUGAGAGGAUGAUCAGCCACACUGGAACUGAGACACGGUCCAGACUCCUACGGGAGGCAGCAGUGGGGAAUAUUGGACAAUGGGCGCAAGCCUGAUCCAGCCAUACCGCGUGGGUGAAGAAGGCCUUCGGGUUGUAAAGCCCUUUUGUUGGGAAAGAAAAGCAGCAGGUUAAUACCCCGCUGUUCUGACGGUACCCAAAGAAUAAGCACCGGCUAACUUCGUG